rnacentral:lncRNA from 10 species
UGCCACUGCCAUGUAAGAAGUGCCUUUCACCACCCCCACACCCUGCCAUGACUCUGAGGCCUCCCCAGCCACGUGGAACUGAGGCAGCUGUAUGGAGGCCAAUAUGCAGACAAGGGAAGUAACUCAGGCAUUUUGGGGGAGAGGUACAGAAAGAAGAGAAAAGACUGAACUGACUGCUGUUCUGAACAAGAACUGUGACUAUAUGUGGUACUCCCAGAAUGCUGGUUUCCUUUCAGACCCAUCAAGUGGCCAUCCUAUUGGCUUGGACUGAAGACCCCCACUGGAGAACUGUCUCUGCAGCCUAUACUGAUGACACUGGCCACUGUCCAGGGCUCCACCCCAAGGAGUCCAAGCCCCAGACAUUUAGCCUUAGAGAGAAUCCAGAUUUUGCAUUUCCAGUGCAGGGAUUGAUGGAGCCUUGUGUAUCAAAGUGCCAAUUUCUUUCUAACAAGCUAGGGAGGAUACCGUUGACAGCAGCAGAAAGGGGUAGCAGUGGUUUGCUUUCCAAAUGGUAAUAAGAAGGGCCUGGCAGUGGCAACCUGUCCACGUAUCAUUAAAAAUGGACUCUCCUGCUUCGUUUGGAAUUCAACCCAAUGAACUUGAAUAAACUCUGGACAAUGACCAGCACAGAGCCCUAAGCAGGAUACAGCAAGAUUAUUUGCUUUACUCAUCCACUGAGUACCUACCAUGUGCCAAAUACUAUGCUAUAUGCCGAGUAUACACUGGCAAAUAAAACAGAUAUGGUCCCUGGAGCCUAUGAAUCUUACCCCAUCUAGCCACAAAUAAUAAAAAUAAGAAGAAUCUGAAGGACAAGUGGGACAGAAAUACUCAAGCAGAAUGAGGGUGAGAUUGAAGUCCCUGAACAUACAGUGCCCUUUACACUUGAUCUUAGCCAAAAGGCCGAGAAGAGAUUACAGUGCUUUUUAAAGGUAGCAUUUCACCCAGCCAAUAAUCAAUCCCUUUGGCCUUCUUGAGGUGCAAGGCCACACACUCAAAUUCUUUAAUCAAACAAUAGGCUAGUGCAAAUGGAGCUAUUUCUUAAACCCAGCUGUUUACACAGCAGCUACAAAUCUGUUCAGAAGGAAUCCCCCACCAUCCACAACUGUCUAUCGAGCAGAUGUGCAAGAGUAUUUGUCUCUCACCACCAGGGUUGCAGUCAGGACAAGAGAGCAGGUUUGAACGUCUUCGGCUCCUAGAACUGCACAAGCUGUGUCUUCAGUGCCCAGAGGCGGCUGCAACGUCUCCCCAGUUCUCCUCUCAGAACAAUGGAAAUUUUUUUUAGAGGCGUAAUAGGAAGGUUUGCAUUGAAUUAUUAAACAAUGGGUAUUGAAAAAUAUGUUUUCUUUGACCUCUGUACUUCUAGCUUUUACCAGUCAGUGUUUUCUUGUACCAAGGCUAAGAUAUGUAUAACACUGAAAUGGAUGUCUUCUUAUAUAAUAUUUUACAAGCUUUUGAAAACCUGUGCCCUUUAAUAAAUUUUAAAACGUUU